rnacentral:sRNA from 1 species
CCUCACUUCCUACUGGGGCCCAGGCCCCCUGGCAGCGUGGUGCCCACAUCAGCGGCAGAGGCAAGUCGGGCCAUGGCCGGGGACACAUCACUGAGCGAGAACUAUGCCUUUGCGGGCAUGUACCAUGUUUUUGACCAGCACGUGGAUGAGGCAGUCCCAAGGGUGCGCUUCGCCAAUGAUGACCGACACCGCCUGGCCUGCUGCUCACUCGACGGCAGCAUCUCCCUGUGCCAGCUGGUGCCUGCCCCACCCACAGUGCUUCGCGUGCUACGGGGCCACACCCGCGGUGUCUCCGACUUCGCCUGGUCCCUCUCCAAUGACAUCCUCGUGUCCACCUCACUGGAUGCCACCAUGCGCAUCUGGGCCUCUGAGGAUGGCCGCUGCAUCCGGGAGAUCCCUGACCCCGAUGGCGCUGAACUGCUCUGCUGCACCUUCCAGCCUGUCAACAACAACCUCACUGUGGUCAGGCUCCAGGACACCCACUCACCAAGGGCUGGUUGGCUGGGUCAGGAAGGCUAUCCGAGGGAAUCAGAGUAUAAGGAGGGAU